AUUGAACGCUGGCGGCAUGCCUUACACAUGCAAGUCGAACGGCAGCGGGGGUUAGCUUGCUAACCUGCCGGCGAGUGGCGAACGGGUGAGUAAUGCAUCGGAACGUACCCAGUAGUGGGGGAUAACUUACCGAAAGGUAGGCUAAUACCGCAUACGCACUGAGGUGGAAAGCGGGGGACCUUCGGGCCUCGCGCUAUUGGAGCGGCCGAUGUCGGAUUAGCUAGUUGGUGAGGUAAAGGCUCACCAAGGCGACGAUCCGUAGCUGGUCUGAGAGGAUGAUCAGCCACACUGGAACUGAGACACGGUCCAGACUCCUACGGGAGGCAGCAGUGGGGAAUUUUGGACAAUGGGGGCAACCCUGAUCCAGCCAUGCCGCGUGAGUGAAGAAGGCCUUCGGGUUGUAAAGCUCUUUCGGCCGGGAAGAAAUCGCACGGGCUAAUACCCUGUGUGGAUGACGGUACCGGAAUAAGAAGCACCGGCUAACUACGUGCCAGCCGCCGCAGUAACAC
rnacentral:rRNA from 1 species